rnacentral:rRNA from 1 species
GGCGAACGCUGGCGGCGUGCUUAACACAUGCAAGUCGAACGGAAAGGCCCCUUUGGGGGUACUCGAGUGGCGAACGGGUGAGUAACACGUGAGUAACCUGCCCUUGACUUCGGGAUAACUUCAGGAAACUGGGGCUAAUACCGGAUAGGAAUCCUUGCUGCAUGGUGGGGGUUGGAAAGCUUCGGCGGUUUUGGAUGGACUCGCGGCUUAUCAGCUUGUUGGUGGGGUAGUGGCUUACCAAGGCUUUGACGGGUAGCCGGCCUGAGAGGGCGACCGGCCACAUUGGGACUGAGAUACGGCCCAGACUCCUACGGGAGGCAGCAGUGGGGAAUAUUGCACAAUGGGCGGAAGCCUGAUGCAGCAACGCCGCGUGCGGGAGGACGGCCUUCGGGUUGUAAACCGCUUUCAGCAGGGGCGAAGCUUGUGGUGACGGUACCUGCAGAAGAAGCACCGGCUAACUACGUG